AGAGUUUGAUCAUGGCUCAGGACGAACGCCUGGCGGCGGUGCCUUAAUACAUGCAAGUCGAGCGCGGCAAGCCAGGAUGAUCCUCUUCCGAAGUGAAUCCUGUGGAACGAGCGGCCGGACGGGUGAGUAACACGUUGGGCAAACCCUGCCUGUAAGACUGGGGAUAACUCGCGGAAACGCCGAGCUAAUAACCCGGAUGAUACUUCAUCCCGCCAUGCCAAGGAGUUGAAAGAUGGCGCAAGCUAUCACUUACAGAUGGGCCCGCGGCGCAUUAGCUUAGUUGGUGGGGUAACGGCCUACCAAGGCAACGAUGCGUAGCCGACCUUGAGAGGGUGAUCGGCCACAUUGGGACUGAGACACGGCCCAAACUCCUACGGGAGGCAGCACGUAGGGAAUCUUCCGCAAUGGACGAAAGUCUGACGGAGCAACCGCCGCGUGAGUGAUGAAGGUCUUCGGAUCUGUAAAACUCCGUUGUCAUGGGAAGAACAAGUACCGUGUGAAUAAGGCGGUACCUUGACGGUACCUGACCAGAAAGCCCCGGCUAACUACGUGCCAGCAGCCGCGGUAAUACGUAGGGGGCAAGCGUUGUCCGGAAUUAUUGGGCGUAAAGCGCGCGCAGGCGGUCCUUUAAGUCUGAUGUGAAAGCCCACGGCUUAACCGUGGAGGGUCAUUGGAAACUGGGGGACUUGAGUGCAGAAGAGGAGAGUGGAAUUCCAUGUGUAGCGGUGAAAUGCGCAGAGAUAUGGAGGAACACCAGUGGCGAAGGCGACUCUCUGGUCAGUAACUGACGCUGAGGCGCGAAAGCGUGGGUAGCGAACAGGAUUAGAUACCCUGGUAGUCCACGCCGUAAACGAUGAGUGCUAGGUGUUAGGGGGUUUCCGCCCCUUAGUGCUGAAGUUAACGCAUUAAGCACUCCGCCUGGGGAGUACGGCCGCAAGGCUGAAACUCAAAAGAAUUGACGGGGGCCCGCACAAGCGGUGGAGCAUGUGGUUUAAUUCGAAGCAACGCGAAGAACCUUACCAGGUCUUCACAUCCUCUGACAGCCCUAGAGAUAGGGUGUUCCCUUCGGGGACAGAGUGACAGGUGGUGCAUGGUUGUCGUCAGCUCGUGUCGUGAGAUGUUGGGUUAAGUCCCGCAACGAUUGCCCCCCUUGAGAUUAGUUGCCAGCAUUAAGUUGGGCACUCUAAUCUGACUGCCGGUGACAAACCGGAGGAAGGUGGGGAUGACGUCAAAUCAUCAUGCCCCUUAUGACCUGGGCUACACACGUGCUACAAUGGAUGGUACAGAGGGCAGCGAAGCGGCGACGCAUUAGCAAAUCCCACAAAACCAUUCUCAGUUCGGAUUGCAGGCUGCAAUUCGCCUGCAUGAAGCCGGAAUCGCUAGUAAUCGCGGAUCAGCAUGCCGCGGUGAAUACGUUCCCGGGCCUUGUACACACCGCCCGU
rnacentral:rRNA from 1 species